UACGGAGGGGACUAGCGUUGUUCGGAAUUACUGGGCGUAAAGCGCACGUAGGCGGAUUGUUUAGUCAGGGGUGAAAUCCCGAGGCUCAACCUCGGAACUGCCUUUGAUACUGGCGAUCUCGAGUCCGGAAGAGGUGAGUGGAAUUCCUAGUGUAGAGGUGAAAUUCGUAGAUAUUAGGAAGAACACCAGUGGCGAAGGCGGCUCACUGGUCCGGUACUGACGCUGAGGUGCGAAAGCGUGGGGAGCAAACAGGG
rnacentral:rRNA from 1 species